GACGAACGCUGACGGUGUGCUUUAGACAUGCAAGUCGAGCGAGAAAGCCCUUCGGGGUUAGUAAAGCGGCGAACGGGUGAGUAACACGUGGGCAAUCUGCCCCUCGCAGGGGGACGAACCGGGGGAAACUCCGGCUAAUACCCCGUAAGUUUCCAGAGUCGCAUGGCUUUGGAAAGAAAGGUAGCUUCGGCCAUCCGGCGAGGGAUGAGCCCGCGGUACAUUAGCUAGUUGGUGGGGUAACGGCCUACCAAGGCGGCGAUGUAUAGCUGGUCUGAGAGGAUGAUCAGCCACACUGGGACUGAGACACGGCCCAGACUCCUACGGGAGGCAGCAGUCGGGAAUCUUGCACAAUGGGCGAAAGCCUGAUGCAAGCAAACACCGUGUGAGCGAUGAAGGCCCUAGGGUCGUAAAGCUCUGUUGUUGGGGACGAAGGGCGAAGGGUUAAUAGCCCCCAGCUUGACGGUACCCUUCGAGGAAGCUCCGGCUAACUACGUGCCAGCCGCCGCGGUAAU
rnacentral:rRNA from 1 species